ACUCAAAUGAAUAGACGGGGACCCGCACAAGCAGUGGAGUAUGUGGUUUAAUUCGAAGCAACGCGAAGAACCUUACCAGGUCUUGACAUCCCCCUGACCGGAUCAGAGAUGGUCCUUUCCUUCGGGACAGGGGAGACAGGUGGUGCAUGGUUGUCGUCAGCUCGUGUCGUGAGAUGUUGGGUUAAGUCCCGCAACGAGCGCAACCCUUGAUGCUAGUUGCCAGCACGUUAUGGUGGGCACUCUAGGAUGACUGCCGGUGACAAACCGGAGGAAGGUGGGGAUGACGUCAAAUCAUCAUGCCCCUUAUGACCUGGGCUACACACGUACUACAAUGGCCGUUACAGAGGGAAGCGAGGCCGCGAGGCGGAGCGAAUCUCAGAAAGACGGUCUCAGUUCGGAUUGCAGGCUGCAACUCGCCUGCAUGAAGUCGGAAUUGCUAGUAAUCGCGGAUCAGCAUGCCGCGGUGAAUACGUUCCCGGGUCUUGCACACACCGCCCGU
rnacentral:rRNA from 1 species